rnacentral:rRNA from 1 species
GAUGAACGCUGGCGGCGUGCUUAACACAUGCAAGUCGAACGGGAAACCUUUUAUUGCAGCUUCGGCAGAUUUAGCUGGGGUCUAGUGGCGGACGGGUGAGUAACGCUUGGGUAACCUGCCUUACACAGGGGGAUAACAGUCAGACAUGACUGCUAAGACCGCAUAAGCGCACAGUACCGCAUGGUCCGGUGCGAAAAACUCCGGUGGUAUAAGAUGGAGUCGUGUUGGAUUAGCUUGUUGGUGGGGUAACGGCUCACUAAGGCGACGAUACAUAGCCGGCCAGAGAGGGUGAGCGGCCACAUUGGGACUGAGACACGGCCCAGACUCCUACGGGAGGGAGCAGUGGGGGAUAUUGCACAAUCGGGGGAACCAAGAUGCAGCGACGCCGCGUGAAGGAAGAAGUAUCUCGGUAUGGAAACUUCGAUCAGCAGGGAAGGUAGUGACGUUACCUGAAGAAGAAGCACCGGCUAACUACGUG